UACGUAGGGGCGCAAGCGUUCAUCCGGAAUUAUUGGGCGUAAAGGAGCUCGUAGGCGGUUUGUCGCGUCUGCCGUGGAAAGUCCGGGGCCUCAACUCCGGUAUCUGCGGUGGGUACGGGCAGACUAGAGUGAUGUAGGGGAGACUGGAAUUCCUGGUGUAGCGGUGAAAUGCGCAGAUAUCAGGAGGAACACCGAGUGGCGAAGGCAGGUCUCUGGGCAUUAACUGACGCUGAGGAGCGAAAGCAUGGGGAGCGAACAGG
rnacentral:rRNA from 1 species